rnacentral:rRNA from 1 species
GUGGGGAAUAUUGGACAAUGGGGGAAACCCUGAUCCAGCAAUGCCGCGUGUGUGAAGAAGGCCUGCGGGUUGUAAAGCACUUUCAGUAGAGAAGAAAUGUUCGGAGCUAACACCUCCGGAACUUGACGUAACCUACAGAAGAAGCACCGGCUAACUCCGUGCCAGCAGCCGCGGUAAUACGGAGGGUGCGAGCGUUAAUCGGAAUUACUGGGCGUAAAGCGCGCGUAGGCGGUUUGGUCAGUCGAUUGUGAAAGCCCUGGGCUUAACCUGGGAAUUGCAGUCGAUACUGCCUGACUAGAAUGUGGGAGAGGGAAGUGGAAUUUCCGGUGUAGCGGUGAAAUGCGUAGAUAUCGGAAGGAACACCAGUGGCGAAGGCGGCUUCCUGGCCCAACAUUGACGCUGAGGUGCGAAAGCGUGGGGAGCGAACAGGAUUAGAAACCCGGGUAGUCC